rnacentral:lncRNA from 1 species
ACUCGUUUUUCCCCACUGAUUCCUCCUAUGGCCAAAUCGAAGCCGAAAUCCCGGCCAAACGGCCGGAAUACGCGGCCGAAGCCCAGCGGCGCCGCCGCGCCCCCUCUCGGUUUUUGCCUCCGACGAGGCCCUUCCCGGCCUCCGUUCGAUGCAAUUUUUAUAUCACCGUGAUCACCAUUCUUUUCUCUACAGGUUGACUGAAGCCAAAUCACCAAAACACGAACCUCGCCGGAGAGUCGCCGUACCCGAGAGCGCCGCCGCCGGUAAGCUCUGCUUUUCCGUGAUUUUUUGGCCCCCCGAGGGCCCUAGGGUUGUUUUCUGACAAGGACCAAUGCGAGUGUGGCCGAAUUCGGCCAAAAACGGCCGAAAAUAGUCAACCCGAGGCGACUCGCCGCCGCCAGCGGCGGCGCCGUCGCCGGAGCACGGCGGAGCCGCCGUGCCGGAGUUGCGAUUUGGGCCGAAAGAGGCCCUGGGCCUAAUUUGGAUUUUUUUU